rnacentral:rRNA from 1 species
UACGGGGGGAGCAAGCGUUGUUCGGAAUUACUGGGCGUAAAGAGUGUGUAGGCGGUGUUCUAAGUCUGGUGUGAAAUCUCCCGGCUCAACUGGGAGGGUGCGCCGGAAACUGGAAUGCUCGAGUAUGGGAGAGGUAAGCGGAAUUCCUGGUGUAGCGGUGAAAUGCGUAGAUAUCAGGAGGAACACCUGUGGUGUAGACAGCUUACUGGACCAUCACUGACGCUGAGACACGAAAGCGUGGGUAGCAAACAGG